GUGGGGAAUAUUGGGCAAUGGGCGCAAGCCUGACCCAGCAACGCCGCGUGAGGGAAGAAGGCUUUCGGGUUGUAAACCUCUGUCCUUGGUGACGAAACAAAUGACGGUAGCCAAGGAGGAAGCCCCGGCUAACUACGUGCCAGCAGCCGCGGUAAUACGUAGGGGGCGAGCGUUGUCCGGAAUUACUGGGCGUAAAGGGUGCGUAGGUGGCCUUUUCAGUUGGAUGUGAAAUCCCCGGGCUUAACUUGGGUGGUGCAUCUAAUACUGGAGGGCUAGAGUGCAGGAGAGGGAAGCGGAAUUCCUAGUGUAGCGGUGAAAUGCGUAGAUAUUAGGAGGAACACCAGUGGCGAAGGCGGCUUUCUGGACUGUAACUGACACUGAGGCACGAAAGCGUGGGGAGCAAACAGGAUUAGAAACCCUAGUAGUCC
rnacentral:rRNA from 1 species